AUGAAGUGGCAGCCGUUCAUGUCCAUGUUCGUGUUGAACAAGAUGUGUGAGCUCAUCUCUAGUGGAGUUAGGACUGACAAUGGCUUCAAGGAGGUGCACUUGAACACCGUUGCGAAGCAGGUGUUCGAGUUCUGUGGGCAAGAGGUGUCUGCCACCCAGGUGUACAACCACCUAAGGAAGUGGAGAAGUCGAUGGAUCCAAGUAUCCAAGCUGAGAGACCUUAGUGGCGUCUCAUGGGAUGAGAACACUUGCUCCAUAGUUCUGGAGGCAGAGCACUACGUCGGCCAUGUCGCGGGUGGCUUCAGCGACGAGGCUCUCAUGGCAGCUCUCAGCCACCUGCUUGACAACAAGGUCCAGGGUGUUGGGUUCGUUGCCAUGGCCGACGCUCACAGGGGCAAGUGGUAUGCCGUGUUCAUCGGUAAGGUCCCAGGGGUUUAUAGUUCAAUGGGAGAAGCCAGUGCACAAGUGGCAUCGUAUAACAACAGCACUCAUAAAGGGUUCAAGACUAGGCAGGAAGCAGAAAAAUCUUACUCUGAGUGGGUGCAAAAGCACGACAGCAGUGUUGACAGUCGUAAGGUUGGAGGUGUCAAGGUGGAUCGUCAGUUUGAGCUGAAGCUGAAGAAUUUCAUCAUCUUCGCCCAGUUCAUCGCCAUUGCCGUGCUGUGGCAUUGGUGUGCUAGGUGUGGGUAA
rnacentral:rRNA from 1 species